CCUACGGGUGGCAGCAGUGGGGAAUAUUGCACAAUGGGGGAAACCCUGAUGCAGCGACGCCGCGUGAAGGAAGAAGUAUUUCGGUAUGUAAACUUCUAUCAGCAGGGAAGAAAAUGACGGUACCUGACUAAGAAGCCCCGGCUAACUACGUGCCAGCAGCCGCGGUAAUACGUAGGGGGCCAGCGUUAUCCGGAUUUACUGGGUGUAAAGGGAGCGUAGGCGGUUUAGCAAGUCAGAAGGGAAAGCCCGGGGCUCAACUCCGGGACUGCUUUUGAAACUGCUGAACUAGAGUGCAGGAGAGGUAAGUGGAAUUCCUAGUGUAGCGGUGAAAUGCGUAGAUAUUAGGAGGAACACCAGUGGCGAAGGCGGCUUACUGGACUGUAAAUGACGCUGAGGCUCGAAAGCGUGGGGAGCAAACAGGAUUAGAUACCCUUGUAGUC
rnacentral:rRNA from 1 species